CAUAAUUACACAUCUCUAUUUAUAAAGGCUAUUUGUUUGUCUUGAUACAAAUCUCACACACGUUCUGCAAUAAUGUGCAAUACAAGAGCAGCGAUGUUUCGUGUAAUAUUAUUCAUGUUUUGUUUGACCUUCGGUGUCUUCAUUAGCGUAAAAUCUGAGAAAAGUUGCGACACUUUAGGCACCUUCAUAUAUGAGGAUCUAGGCUGUAGGCCAGUGAAGAAAGAUGGCAGGGGUUGCGCUAUACAGUACGAGUGCGACGAUUUUACCCAGAAGAACGAUUCUUGUUUGUUCAGAGGAAAAACUUACGCACUAAAUGAACAAAUAGGAAAUGAAUUAACUUAUGAACCCUGCUAUCUGGACUGUCAGUGCAAAGAUCACUUAGGAACUGCAAAUUUUAUGUGUGCGGAAAUAGAUUGUCCCGAAUGGCUGGAUUAUCCAAUCAAGCCUGGUUGCUACGAAAAAUUCGCAUUGGAUCAAUGUUGUUCCGCAGGAAGAAACUGUCCUUCGGAAGACAAACCAGCAGCAGAAUGCUCUGUAGAUGGAAAUGUAUACAAAGAUGGUCAAGAGUUCUACCCAAAAAAUACCUGCCUUAAAUGUAUCUGCAGUAAAGACUAGAAGGGACGCCUUGAACCACCUUUCUGCCAGAGGUCUUGGUGCACUUCUCAGAUAAAUAAUGCAGAGGAGCUGCACAAAAAGUGUGCACCUGUUUAUUUCAGUAAAGAGGCGCUUUGUUGUCCGAACACUUGGGUUUGUCCUUCUCCGACUGACAAUAUCACCAAAAUUAACAACAACGUCAAUUCUAACUCAGACCUCUCCUGUGUAUUUGGGUCUAAAACGUUAAAACUUGGGGAAGGAAUCAAAACGAAAGUCAGCUAUUCCGGCCGUGAAAAAGAUGUUCAGUGUGAAUGUGUAGUACCACCGUUACUGACGUGCAAGGAAGUGUAGAAUUUUAAAAUUUAGUCUCGAAUGAUGUUAGUUUUGUUGCUUAAAUGAUGCUUAUUUUUUGUAAUUGAAUUAAUUCGUUCUGUAAAUG